CCUACGGGAGGCAGCAGUGGGGGAUAUUGCACAAUGGGCGAAACCCUGAUGCAGCGACGCCGCGUGAAGGAAGACGGCCUUCGGGUUGUAAACCUCUGUUGCCGGGGACGAAGGAAGUGACGGUACCCUGUGAAGAAGCCACGGCUAACUACGUGCCAGCAGCCGCGGUAAUACGUAGGUGGCGAGCGUUGUCCGGAAUUACUGGGUGUAAAGGGAGAGUAGGCGGGAGUGCAAGUUGAAUUUAUAAACUAUCGACUCAACUGAUAGAAGCGUUGAAAACUUCACUUCUUGAGUGAAGUAGAGGCAGGCGGAAGUCCUAGUGUAGCGGUGAAAUGCGUAGAUAUUAGGAGGAACACCAGUGGCGAAGGCGGUCUGCUGGGCUUCAACUGACGCUGAGGCGCGAAAGCGUGGGUAGCAAACAGGAUUAGAUACCCCAGUAGUC
rnacentral:rRNA from 1 species